AGAGUUUGAUUAUGGCUCAGGAUGAACGCUGGCGGCGUGCCUAACACAUGCAAGUCGAGCGGGAAGCCGGAACAUGUAGAGAUAUAUGAGAAAGCAUCCUAGCGGCGGACGGGUGAGUAACACGUGAGGAACCUGCCUUACACAGGGGAAUAACACCGUGAAAACGGUGCUAAUACCGCAUAACACCGCACUAUGGCAUCAUAGAGCGGUCAAAGGAGAAAUCCGGUGUAAGAUGGCCUCGCGCCCGAUUAGUUAGUUGGUGGGGUAAUGGCCUACCAAGACUGCGAUCGGUAGCCGGACUGAGAGGUCGAACGGCCACAUUGGAACUGAGAGACGGUCCAGACUCCUACGGGAGGCAGCAGGUGGGGAAUAUUGGGCAAUGGGGGAAACCCUUCGACCCAGCAACGCCGCGUGAAGGAAGAAGGCCUUCGGGUUGUAAACUUCUUUGAUCAGGGAAGAAACAAAUGACGGUACCUGAAAAACAAGCCACGGCUAACUACGUGCCAGCAGCAGC
rnacentral:rRNA from 1 species